rnacentral:lncRNA from 1 species
CCCAGUGCUGACCAGCAGGGGGCACACGGCAGAAAAGAGGAAGCCACAGCAGCCCCAGUGCUGACCAGCAGGGGGCACACGGCGGAGGCGCGGAAGCCACAGCAGCCCCAGUGCUGACCAGCAGGGGGCACACGGCAGAGAAGAGGAAGCCACAGCAGCCCCAGUGCUGACCAGCAGGGGGCACACGGCAGAGGCGUGGAAGCCACAGCAGCCCCAGUGCUGACCAGCAGGGGGCACACGGCGGAGGCGCGGAAGCCACAGCAGCCCCAGUGCUGACCAGCAGGGGGCACAGGGCAGAGACGUGGAAGCCACAGCAGCCCCAGUGCUGACCAGCAGGGGGCACACGUGGAGAAGAGGAAGCCGCAGCAGAGCCAGUGCUGACCAGCAGGCGGCCCACGGCAGAGAAGAGGAAAGGGCAGCACCCCAGUGCUGAGCAGCAGGGGGCACAGGGUGGAGACGCGGAAGCCGCAGCAGCCCCAGUGCUGACCAGCAGGGGGCCGACCGCGGAGGCGUGGAAGCCGCAGCAGCCCCAGUGCUGACCAGCAGGGGGCACAUGGCGGCGGCGUGGAAGCCUCAGCAGCCCCAGUGCUGACCAGCAGGGGGCCCACCGCGGAGGCGUGGAAGCCGUAGCAGCCCCAGUGCUGACCAGCAGGGGGCCCACUGUGGAGGCGUGGAAGCCUCAGCAGCCCCAGUGCUGACCAGCAGAGGGCACAUGGCGGAGACGUGGAAGCCUCAGCAGCCCCAGUGCUGACCAGCAGGGGGCACACGGCAGAGAAGAGGAAGCCACAGCAGCCCCAGUGCUGACCAGCAGGGGGCACACGGCAGAGANNNNNNNNNNNNNNNNNNNNNNNNNNNNNNNNNNNNNNNNNNNNNNNNNNGGGCGGCACGAGGCCCAUGACAGCUCAUGCACUGCUGGAGUCUGGGAAGUGCCCUUGAUGCUGGGACGGAAUGGGGAGCAAGACAGGUUCUGUCCUCGGAGGCCGCCGUCCUGGGACACGCCAGCAGGUCAGGGCAAGUGCAUGAAGGCCGUGGGCUUCGGACUUUAUCGGCGACAACCGGGACCGCUGGAGGAUAUUCGGGCCCCCUUUCCGGCAGCCCCAUGUGAGGAGACAGACAAAGGGAGAGAUCUCAGGGUGGACAACACUGGCCUUCAGCUCACGCGUUUCUGGUUCAGCGGUGCACGGUGAACGGGCUUCUCCUGAUGGCUGACGGCAGCCACACAAGGUAAAAGCAGGCGAACAUUCUCAGGACAUCAUGUAAGAUGCCAAAGACGUCGGUUCUUUGUUCAACUCUCUGAAUCUGCUGAGCCAGCUGGUGACAACGGAGAAAAGCGUCACACAAAGCAGAAAGCGUCACACAAAGGCCCAGGCGGGUUUAGCGGCUCCUGCAGGGUGGCCCAGGGGCCCUGGCACCCCCUCCCUGGGCAGCAGUCACCAUCUUCGGUUUCAGGGUUCCCUUUCAGAGGUGAGGGCUCCCGUUUCGGGUGAUGACACAGACGGCCUUCUUCUUCCA